ACGCAGGGAGACGUGCGUGACGCGCGCGCCAUGGGGAGCAAAGCAAUCAAUCUUGGUAGCCUACGUAUAUGCGAAUAAAUUUGUUGGGUGGUGAGCGAUGAGUACGUGACGUGACAAUGACAUUCCUUUUCCUUGUGUAUCCAUGAUAGUGUUAUUACCAUGACGCAUGUAUUAUUUUGGAAGCCAAACUAUGUUUCCAUCUGUAUCAAAGAUAUACUUAUAUAUUACUAUACAAACAGAUUUAUAUAUUGCGCACAGAAUGAUGACUUGGUUCCGUUACCGUACAAGUUUUCUUUUGUGAGUGCACGUGAAACGCACAUAUAAUCAUAAGUUUAAUAUUUUGAUUAUCCAAAUUGAUUUGUCUAUCACAAUGGUUGCCACAAUAACAUCUCAAGUUUUUAUAACAUUUGGUCUAAACUAAAAUUUAUAACAAUUUAAAAGGAAUUUUUGUUUAGCAAACGCCCUUCUUUGUGGCUAGAUGUUUUCACGUCGGCAUCUCAUUGCCUCGGAAGUGUCCCUCCCAUCAUGGAUCGUUUCUUAUGUGGCACUCCUCUUUAUGCC
rnacentral:lncRNA from 1 species